AUUGAACGCUGGCGGCAGGCCUAACCCAUGCAAGUCGAGCGAGCGGCGGCCGGGUGAGUAAUGUCUGGGAAACUGCCUGAUGGAGGGGGAUAACUACUGGAAACGGUAGCUAAUACCGCAUACCAUCAGAUGUGCCCAGAUGGGAUUAGCUAGUAGGUGGGGGAACGGCUCACCUAGGCGCCGCUCCCUAGCUGGUCUGAGAGGAUGACCAGCCAAACUGGAACUGAGACACGGUCCAGACUCCUACGGGAGGCAGCAGUGGGGAAUAGUGCACAAUGGGCGAAAGCCUGAUGCAGCCAUGCCGGGUGUGGGAAGAAGGCCUUCGGGUUGUAAAGCACUUUCAGCGGGGAGGCGUUACCCGCAGAAGAAGCACCGGCUAACUCCGUGCCAGCAGCCGCGGUAUAC
rnacentral:rRNA from 1 species